rnacentral:tRNA from 1 species
CAGAGUGUAGUUUAUUUAGAAUUUUAGUUUUGGGGACUAGGGGAAAAUAUUUAUUUUACUCUGA